rnacentral:lncRNA from 1 species
AAAUGAAAUAAAUGAUAUCAAAAUGCGAAAGUUGGGAACUAUUCAAUCAUUGAACCAAAAAGAACACACAAGAAACAAGACCAAAAAGUAGCUAACAGAAACUGCCAUCCACCAGCUUACAAAACUCUCCACUCACAUUCAGCGCCUCGCAAUCCACCACCAAUCCAGAAGGAACAAAACUGACAGCCACAAAGCUACCGAGUGCCGAGCAACAGCCGAAGCAAAGCUACAAAAUGUUGUUGCCUUUGUGGUCGUGUGGAUUGCGAGUUGGCAUGUCGCUUGUGUUUGGUUCUACGUCGUAUAAGAGCAGUAAACUGCCGAUAAAUCGACAACUACUCGAAUAUACUCGUGCAUCUAUUUACUUCUCAUUGGCAGCUAACCUAAGUGAGACUAUUUAUGGG